rnacentral:ncRNA from 1 species
CUUAUCCAGAGACGGUGGAGGGACUGGCCCGAUGAAACCCGGCAACCGACAUUUCGACAGAUGCUAACAGUCGCAAUGCACGGUGCUAAUUCCUGCAGAAACAAACCAUUCUGGAAGAUAAGG